GGCUGGUCUGAUGGCGGUGGGUUAUCAGAACUUAAUAAUAACAUUAGUGUCACUAAAGUUGGAAUACCAUCCCCCCACUGCUAAAUUUGACUGUCUUAA
ensembl:misc_RNA Y_RNA Y RNA